GACGUAGGGCGCGAGCGUUGUCCGGAUUUAUUGGGCGUAAAGAGCUCGUAGGCGGCUUGUCGCGUCGACUGUGAAAACCCGCGGCUCAACCGUGUGGCUUGCAGUUGAUACGGGUAGGCUAGAGUUCGGUAGGGGAGACUGGAAUUCCUGGUGUAGCGGUGAAAUGCGCAGAUAUCAGGAGGAACACCGGUGGCGAAGGCGGGUCUCUGGGCCGAUACUGACGCUGAGGAGCGAAAGCGUGGGGAGCGAACAGG
rnacentral:rRNA from 1 species